GAUGAACCAUAGUGAUGCUAACAAUUCAUUUCUUCAGAAACACAUGGAGAUCAGCUGCAGUAAGACUCUAGAAAGCUGCAAAGAACAGACUGAAAGGCUCAGGGUGUGCAAAGGGCCAUUUCAUGCCUCUUCUCUGGCUGAAGCGGACUUUAAUGGACAGUGAGAGGAGGAAAGAUUUGGAUAAGGAUUGAAACACCUCAGAAGGAGACAGAGAACGAAACACUGACUGCACUGAAGUAGAUAAGAACUGCAAAUGCCUAAUAGAUUUUAUGCAAACAAUCUGAAGAAUCUAGCCUUAGUCAUUUGUUUUGGACAAAAUUCAGCUGUCACCCACAUGGAAGACUAACCUAUGAGGAAGUACAGAAACAGCUGGUGCUUGAGCUGUUAUUGCAACCAGUGUAUGCUGCAUUCCUAACCAAGUCCUGCUUUUCUGUUAUAUGGAAAUAUUAAAGCAAAUCCUAUUAUGAAAACUAAUGCAUGAGGUUGAAAGAGGACAUCCAGCAGGAGACUACAAGACAAGAUUUCUGUCAAAGAAAGAGAGCAAGGAUAAUUCCAUACUUCUAAAGGAGUCUGACAAACAUGGUUCUGCAUGAUGCAGGCAUUCUGAAGUAGACAGAGAAUUUUAAAGUGGCUAUGAAAGGGAAGCAAGACCAAGAACACAAAGACACCUUUGAUUCAACAAUGAGGGAGAAAAAGAAAGAUUAAGUCACAACUGGAGAUGACUGAGAAAUUAUCAGAGUGUACACCGAGUAAACAUCCAGCUGAAGAGGUGACGAAAGCGUCCUCCGGCCUCCAUGUUUAAAGAGGGCUGUUCUGCACAUUUCCCUUGAAGUGAGCUUUUUCCAAAGCCAUUUCCUUCUCUGUGCAUACACUCAGUGAAGAUCCUUGUAACUGUAACCCCAGGCCCCCUCAAAGACUUUGUCACCACAGUGAAAUCGUUGCGUGCCAAAGGUCCCAUUGCCUCCCUCCCAGCAGGAUUAAAGCUUUUCAGUGGGGUCAAGCCAUGGCUGCUGUAACUGUAUGUUGCCAGACCUCAGAUGCACUUACAGAGCACUUCUCUAAUCUCCAGAGCUAUUCCUGCUCCUCAGAGCUGCCUGUCCUCGUGCCUACGGCAGUGUCAGGGCCAUCUUCCAGGCGGGUGAUGGACAGGAGGCCUCUGCACUGGCUCACCACUGCUGUUUUGCAAUUCUUUUAAGGGAAAAGCUUUUUUUCCCUGCCUGCCAAUAGGCACAAGGGAAAGAGACACCUUUCAGCAUGUCUGUUUGAUCAGGCUACGAAUGGCAAAUGGUGUUUCUCUAAUUAUGAACUAAUAAAACCUCACAUUCAAAC
ensembl:lncRNA